rnacentral:lncRNA from 1 species
CAUAUAGGUUAUACCACAGUAUAUGAGAGGAUUUCUUUGUACCAUACGGAAGGUCCUUCUUAAGAACCUUCCUUCUUAUCUCCCCAUCCCUUUCAGACCAACCCCCAAAUCUUUUGCUGCCACGGAGUCAGUAACAGAGGCUCAGAAUCUUCUGCCUGGCCACAGAAGCAGCUAACAUCUCAGCCACUGACAGUGGCUGCAGCUUUAGGAGCAUCUGAUUAAUCUUCUAGCCAGAUAAUCAUUGAGAAAAGGGAAGGGGGUGAAGGGGGACAUAACAGCUUUAGGCUGAUGGUGUGGAGAGAACAGACACUUCUAGAGACAGAACAGCCUUGGGGGCACAUCUUGCCUCUGCUGCUUGGUAACUGCACAGUUCAAACAAGUUGGCUUCCUCAGUUUCACCUUAUGUAAAAUGAGCACCCAGGGACUGCCUCCCCCUUUAUGAAGCUGUUCCUAGUUACUCCCUGCUUUUCACGGCUGCCACCUUGCUCAGAUGCUGUCCUCCAUUUGUAGCACUUUAUUUUGUGCAUGUGUCAGCUCUCUCACUGACUUGUGAGGUUUUUGAGGUCAAUAGCCAUGUCUUGUUCACCAUUACAUCUUUGGGACCUGGUACAGGGCUUGAUACAUAAUAGAUGCUUGAUAAAUGAAGCUUACGUGAUUAUAGCGAGUUUUAAAUGGUGUACCUACCUGGCACAUAGUAGGCACUCAAUACGUGUGGCUCGCUUCUCCUUUCUCCUCCCCCUGUUUACAUCCAGACCGGUCCCCAGCCUCUUCUUCCAUCUAACUCAUGUACCACACUCCUUCCCUCUUCCCAGCCUUGCUCUAUUCCUGAGGUCCCUUCCGCAGACCAGGCAAGGCUACCUGGGAAGAGCUGGCUUGGUGCAAACCCCAUUAGAUGCUUUGGAUCCACCAGGCACGCAUACUUAGCAGCUGCUGAAUGGAUGCUCUUAGGGGAGCAGCUUUGUGUGCCUGUGGUUGGUGACUCGGUAAGGGCUUAGAGGAAAUUAGCUGAAAUGCCACAGGCCUAUUUUGAGCUCCUUCUUUGAUGGAGUGGAAAUAACAUGGGAUUUGGGUGCAGCAGACCUGGCCUGGAAGCACAAGACUGCCAUUUCCUCAUUGUGUGACCUUGGGCAGUCACUUAACCUCUCUGGAAAUCUCUCUUCACCUAUCAGAGAGGACCACUGGCAGGGGCCUUACAGUGUGGUUGUCAGGGUUACAUGUUAUAGCAAUGACAAGAGCUAAUAUGCCAGGCAUGAUCUAAGCUAAGUCUCAGAACAGUCCUAUGAGGAAGGAAUCAUUUCACAGUUGAGGAACCUGAGUCACUUAAUGGUCUAAGUGUCUGGCCUAAGGUUGUGAGUGACAGUUAGUGGCAGACCUGAGAGUCUAGUCCAGCAACCCAACAAAGACCCUAUGACUUAACCACUGUGCUUUGACCCAAGAUAGGAGCUUUCUGCAUAAGGAUAUGACACCAAGGCUGUUUGCUUCUCGUCCAUUUAAGGGAGUAACUUCUAGGGGCCAGAUGUUUUCACACAGAUUCUCACACUUACCAUUCCACCAACCCUGCAAAUGCAUUUUACUAACCUAUCCUAGGGGUGAAGAAACAGAGGUUCAGAGAGGUCAUAAAUCAAGUCCCAAGGUCAUAUAUCAAGUUAAGUGGACCAGCAGAGAUUUGAACAUUUUGCACAGCUUCAAGUCCUCCUAGAUCCAAGUCCCAUGUUUUAUUCAUUUGUUUAUCUACUUGUUCAACAAAUCAAGCACCUACUAUGUGUCAGUUACACAUAAUAGAUUUUCCCGGGGCUGUUGAGUAUGAUAGAUGUGUUCCUUUCCUCCAAGGACCUGAAGUCAAGCAGAAGGAGCAGACAGGUGAGGAAUAGCCACGUUGGGGUGAGGAGAGUGCUAGCUGAUGGAUGCUCCAUAUGGAGCAGGGAGACUAAACCCAGUCUAGGGGUGAGGGACAUCCCCCCGGAGGACGGGCCAUUUAAAUUGAGAUUAACUCAGAGUUCCCAUUGUGCUCAGUGGGUUAAGACCCUGAUUAGUAUCCGUGAGGAUUCGGGCUCGAUCCCAGGCCUCGCUCAGUGGGUUAAGGAUCCAGCGUUACUGCACGCUGUGGUGUAGGUCGCAGAUGUGGCUUGGAUAUGGUGUUGCCGUGGCUGUGGCCUAGGCUAGUAGCUGCAGCUCUGAUUCGACCCCUAGCCUGGAAACUUCCAUGUGCCAUGGGUGUGGCCUGAAAAAGAAAAAACAAAACAAAACAAAUCAACUGAGAUUAACUCAGAGUCAGCUAGGCUCAGAUGGGGGUGAGGGUUGAAGGGAGCUGAGAAGAGGAGGGGCAUUCCAGGCUGUGGGACCAGCAUGUGCGAAGGUGCUGAAGUGUGAGCACAUGGGAAAAGAGGAUGGGCCUGCUUUAGGGGAAGUACGGCUGAUCUAAAGUCAAUGCUGGGAAAUGUUGUAGGCUAAGAGCCUGGAGACCUGGAAGGGAGGCUGAAGCAUAAGAAGCUACCUGGAGGAUGCUGGUGGAACAGAGAGUGUGAGUACCACACCUGGAGACAGGUAGACAGUAAGGCAGCUGUGGCUGUGCUCCAAGCAAGAGACAAUGGUGGCCAGGACCAGCAUAUGGCAAUGAGGACGGAAAGAAGUAGAGGGGUUUGGGGGUAUUGGGGAGAAAAGUGAUGAAUAUUGGUGUUCCUAACUGUCGCUCUGAGGAAGAAGCCGGUUGGAGCUUGUGGGGGCUCCAGGGAGAGAAGGACACUGAGAAUUCUGCUUUGGUCGUGUGCACAGUUUGGCUCCAUGCUAUUUACUCUUCACUCUGUGCUCCUGUUCUAUCCAAGCAUGUUAAUCAAUGAAUUAGAAAUGGAAAUCAUUCAUUCAAUUAUGUUCCAUCCCCACUAGAAUGCAGCCUCAUGAAGGCAGGGAUUGUGGACUGCUGCCUUCUUGCUGUAUUUCCAACACUUAGAACAGUGCCUGGCGAGGGCGCUCUAUACAAAUAAACCACCUUAUUGAUAUAAAAAUCCAAAUGCAUGCAUGUUCUGUGCCAGGCAGUGUGCUGAGGUGCUAGGGAGGCACAUGAGAUGAAAAUGCCAAAAUCAGGGAGAUUGUCAAGCAGAACACUAAUUCCAAAGCAGUGUGACCCAGACCUGGGGAAGAUCUGGGGGUGGGGGGGUUGUCUGGCAGACCCUUCUGUGUGCUCCCACAGCUGCCAUGCUCCUCCUCCUGUGGCACUUUUCUCUCUGGGUUAGGCAUUUCCAUUUAAUGGCUGGCACAUAGUGGGUCCACAGAACUUAUUUGAGGAAUGAAUGAACUAAAUGAAGACAUGUGCUUCGGAAGUGCAGAGCAAGAAGCAUUGAUGUCUGUCUCAGCUUCCCAUAAGGUUUUGUCCAAGACAAGUUCGCCCUCAAAGACCAGGAGAAAAAGGUCACAGUAGGUCAAGGAAGAGAGGAGGGCAUUGCAAGCGGAGGCACCACACAUGCAAAGGCAGAGACCUGGAGCAGGAUGAGGAAUCUCAAGGAGGUUGGUGUGACCGAUGGGGACAGGCAGGGAGGCUGGGGUUGAAUCCGGGGAGACUACUGUGCAGGGGUGAUGAGGCAUCCAUUAGCCUCAUUGUCCAAACCUAGGCAGAGGCAAUGAAAUGAGAUAAUAACAGGCUGUGGUGUGAGAUGGACCUGGGUUUGAAUCUCAGCUCUGCUGCUCACUCUUUGUAUGACCUUGGGUGGGAAUUUAACCCCUCGGAGCUUCCCUGUCUGUAAACGGGGUGAUGGGUGUCCUCCUUUGCUCCCACUGGAAGUCCUUUGUACUUGCAGCCCCCCUCUGUUGGAAUGUUGUCCUCCCUGAAGGCUGGACCCCUAGCUCAUGAUUCAGGUUGUCACUGAAUAUCACCCCCAGAGAGGCAUGGCUGGUCACACAAUUUAAAACGUCACUCUCUAUGACAUUGACCUGUUUUGUUUUCAUCGCAGUGCCUGUUGCAACCUGACAGUCUCUUGUUUAUUAUCUGACAUCGCUCCCCACCCACCCACCUCCCCCAGGACAUCAGAGCACACAUGUCUUGUUCAUUCCAGUAUCCCCAAUGCCUGGAAACUGCCUGGAAUAUUGUGGGUGCUCAGCAAAUGGCCUUUGAGUGAACACUACCACGUAGCACCCCUCACCUCACCUAUGCAUUUAGUUUCUUAUAAGUGCACAUGGUUGUGGGAAUUAAACAAGAUACAAGCAUUUUGAAAAAUAAUAGGAGCAGAUCUCUUAAGGCCCCUGGCACUUGACAAAUAGAGUUGGGGUUGGGGUGCCACUGGGAAACGUGAAGGUGGCCCCGAGAUGCAAUGGGAGGACCGGGAACAGCACCAGUACCAGGGAUGAGGCAGUACCAGACUGGUACCGGGCGACCAGCACUGGUCUGGAUUCCCCAUGGUGCUCCUCUUGGGCAGGCUCGGCUCUCUAGACCGCACAUGCAACCCACUGUGGAUCACCAGAAGCUUCCAGCUUGCAUAGCUGUUCAGCCCCAUGCUGGAGCAACCGCUGCAGAGAGGCCCAGAUGGGACUGUCAGGCUCCAGGGUUGGGAGGAAAGGAGAUGCUAGAAGACAUGCCUGGUUUUACUUCUUGCAGAGCUGAGUGCAGCCAAGGAAGCCUCAGGGAGCCCUGACUGUCUGCUGCUGGAUUGGCUGGGAGAGUGGGGCAGGGCUCGUGGUUUGUUUUGAGCCUGAUGAGAACCGGAAGCUGAAAAUCCACGUGUAGAGGUGUUUAUGGCAAGAAUUCCCACAGAGAAGUAGCUUUCCCACGGGGACUUCCACCCCCCAGCCUGAGCUCUGAAUCAAUCCUGUGCUUCCUUCCCCACCCCCCACCUCCAGGGCUGGUGUAGGAUUUUACCAGGAACUGAGCUAUGGCAAAGAAAAUGAGGAUAGAAAAUUGAUAAUAGGGAGUUCCCGUUGUGGCGCAGUGGUUAACGAAUCCGACUAGGAACCAUGAGGUUGUGGGUUCAGUCCCUGCCCUUGCUCAGUGGGUUAACGAUCCGGCGUUAACGAACCGGCGUUGCUGUGAGCUGUGACACGGCUCGGAUCCCGCGUUGCUGUGGCUCUGGCGUAGGCCGGUGGCUGCAGCUCCGAUUAGACCCCCUAGCCUGGGAACCUCCAUAUGCCGCGGGAGCGGCCCAAGAAAUAGCAAAAAG